UGGAAACAGCAGCUGUGAUCAUUCCUGCAGCUGAAACUUUCAGCUACCUCUUUGCUGAAUGAUGUUAAUGAGAAAGAACCUCAAUUUCCACAGGCUAAUGGGACCACUGGUUCUUUAAUCAGGUUUGUUUUUCUUUUAGCACUGGUCGAAAGCAUGUGAGAAAGGGAGAACAGAAAAGCAUCUGUACCAAUGAAGCGGAGUGAAGGUGGCACGUUCCCAGCAGCGGAGAGACUGCUCUGUGUGCAGGGUGGCCCCAGGACAGGAGCGAGGCAUAAUGGGAGGUUUCCUGGGACAGUCUCUGGAUGUGAAAAUUGUGAGCAGUACACAGGCUGUUAUUCACAGAAUGGUCUGAACAGGAGGUUAUGUUGCAGUGAGAGCCCAUGGGCACAGUGGCACACAGGGACACCCUGGCCUCAGCGUUGCUUUACCCCGCACAUCUACUGCCUGCCCACAGGCAGCAGCCAGGCACCUUCACCUGCAGCUGAGGUUUCUCUGGUGUUGCUCUGGCACUGCCAGAGGUAAUGAAAACUCUCAAUUUCUUGCAAUGGGCCAGUGUAAUUUGUGCAACGUGCAGAGUUAUUCAGUGGCAUUUCCAGGAGGCUGUAAUCAGGGAGAGCUUUAAAA
rnacentral:lncRNA from 1 species